rnacentral:rRNA from 2 species
AUGAUGCUAAGUGUUAGAGGUUUCCGCCCUUUAGUGCUGAAGUUAACGCAUUAAGCACUCCGCUGGGGAGUACGUCGCAAGACUGAAAUCAAAGGAAUUGACGGGGGCCCGCACAAGUGGUGGAGCAUGUGGUUUAAUUCGAAGCAACGCGAAGAACCUUACCAGGUCUUGACAUCCUCUGACAACCCUAGAGAUAGGGCUUUCCCUUCGGGGACAGAGUGACAGGUGGUGCAUGGUUGUCGUCAGCUCGUGUCGUGAGAUGUUGGGUUAAGUCCCGCAACGAGCGCAACCCUUGAUCUUAGUUGCCAGCAUUCAGUUGGGCACUCUAAGGUGACUGCCGGUGACAAACCGGAGGAAGGUGGGGAUGACGUCAAAUCAUCAUGCCCCUUAUGACCUGGGCUACACACGUGCUACAAUGGAUAGUACAAAGGGUUGCAAGACCGCGAGGUGGAGCUAAUCCCAUAAAACUAUUCUCAGUUCGGAUUGUAGGCUGCAACUCGCCUACAUGAAGCCGGAAUCACUAGUAAUCGCGGAUCAGCAUGCCGCGGUGAAUACGUUCCCGGGCCUUGUACACACCGCCCGUCACACCACGAGAGUUUGUAACACCCGAAGUCGGUGGGGUAACCUUUUAGGGGCCAGCCGCCUA